CCUCUUCCUGCCGCCCGCCUCUCCUCCCUUCACAUUUUUCUAUUCCUCCCUACCGCCGCCGCCCCCUCGUCUCUCCAAGGUGAAGCAACACCGCGACCACGCCGGCUCGCUGCAACGGCAUCCAACCCCAACAGCGAGGAACAACCCCCACACCCGUCUUCUCCACCUCUUCCCUGCCGUCCACGCCGCGACAUCCCACUCACCCACGUCUCGGCCUCACCGCCAGUCAAGUUGCAUCUGGAGGCGAGAAGAGAGAGCGGCCACGCCCAUAGGAGGCCAUCCCCGGCCUAAAUCCUAAGGCUCCUUUCCGGAACAAUCCCCUUCACUCGCGAUGAACAGGCGACCGGAGCUCUGCAGGAACUACCAGCACGGCAGGUUACCUGAUCCAUCUCUGCACUAAUUUAGAUACGACCACUGAUUUAGAUCCAUUGUUCCUGCCUUCAGUCGCCGCGCAGCGCGAAUGACAAAUGCAAUUGGCCGGAUUGGAUGGUCACGCGGUGUGGGGGUGGGAAAGAUGGAGAGAUGGCGGGCGUAGGGGUGGCUACUGUAGAAGGUGGGCAGAAGGAGGUGUUGUGCGGGGCCUCGACACUAGGCAGGUGCAUCUCUUCUCUGCAGCACAUGGCGAGGCUGAGAGCCCAACCCCUCUGCUUGAUGCCCUAGCCAAGUGGACGAGGGCUGGCUCCCAACCCCCCUCUGCUAGGUGCCCAGUUUUCUCUUCCACCUACGCUCUCAUUGGCCGAUUUUCUGCAGCGAUGCAACAUACAGAAGUAGUGCACUAAGUAUCCCUUAUUUUUCAUGCGCAAAUUCAUAAGGUUUCUGUUUUCUAAAGACCUAGUUACUGGGCCAACAUGGUCAUGUGACUUUGUCUUGCAGCAGAAGACUAUAUACUUCCCUAGAAUAGUGCAGCAGCGGAGAGGGGCCUAAAAGAAUGAGUGGAUGUAGCUUCUUGUUGGACUCAUGCUUCUAGAAGUGGACGUAACGACUCUGGUUUCGUUGGGCCUCAAGUAGCAGCUAGAGCAAGGGGGUGGUUCAUGAUUGUGGCUCUGUAGGCCUCCAAUAGACAACAUCAAUAAUAAGGAUAGGAGUUGUCUGCUUCAUAUCACCUCUAUCUCCACCCAAGUUUCAGUUUGCAGGAUGUGUUUGAGGGUGGCUUCUACUUGUUCAUGAAGGCAACUAAGGAGAAGUUGAUUAAAUUUCUUAAAGGAAACAAAGAUUUCAUUUUUAGGCAGGCAUGAAACUGUGAAUGCCUGCUUUUAUGCAUUGUAAAGCCUUGAUAGCAGUGUAGGUGUUCCUUGUGUUGUUCAGGCUGAGGGCAUUGCUGAUGAGUUGCUGGAGCGUCUUGAUUGGCUGGCGAAUCUGGCUAUUUAUGCUCCUUAAUUUUCAUAUUUGUAUUGGAACUAUUUACUAAA